AUACCUAUCGUAAUAUAGGUUAUCAAAUGUGAGUCUUGAUAGGGCAAAUAUUAGUCAUCCCAACUUCGGCCAACUAUCUUGAUCUUGAUUUUAGCCCAAAAAAUGAGUUCGAUUUGGACCAAGGUAUCAUUCUAGACAGUCUGAAAUGAGAAUAACACUGAACAUCAUUGCAUGAAUGGUAAUAAUGGCACCGGCAAUUGCAUCAGUAUGCACGAUCGGCGCAAUUAUCGCCAAGUAUUAAUUAUGGCGAGCCGUUAUUAUGCGGUUAAUGCACGAUUGAUUGUCAUAUGCAGUUACAACAGUACUCGAUAAACCAAAUAAUGGACACUAACUUUAUCCUAUAUAUAGAAAUAAUUCGAGGACCUAAGGCAAGUAAUCUAAGACUCUUCGCUUCGCAUUAUUCUCCUUUUUUUUACUAUUGCUCUAGACCUCUGACUU
rnacentral:lncRNA from 1 species